UGCGCAUUAAUGUAUGUGACGUCGUGAACAGGCUGGGAGGCGGUGGGCUAGUGAACAUAUGCUAGCUAACAGCUGUGUGUCGUGGGCUCUAACACGCUCUGCCGCCGAUAAAACCAGCAUACGAUAUGUCAAAACAGAAAGCCAUGUUUAUACAAACACGGCAGGACUCCCGACAGAUCCAGCUUUUGAAGAGAAUCAAAAUGCCAGUGCAGAUCUAGCAGAAACCCCCACACAGGAUGCAACGAUGAGGCCGAUCUUCUUCAAUGCGGCUCAAUCCAGCAGUGAUGUGCGUAAACUAAUUGACCAGAGACUCAGAGGCGUCACAGGAAGCUGGUGCUCUGCUUCGACUCUCGAUGAGGAAGUGGGGGCUGCUAAACAACCCUGUGGUCUGACCAAACCUGCGAGAUAGCAAAAGAGAGAAACAAGAGGAAAUGUGUGAGCUGCUUGAUACAAAAACAUGUCAAAAUUAUCACACAGGAAGCACAGCUCAGUUUAGGAGGCACCACUUCCUGAGUUCCUGUACCAAACCGCUGCCAACAUCAUCUGCCAGCAAUGGCCUUCUACAUUUUUCAGCUUCCUCUGAUGUGUUUUGUGCUCAAUGAUUUAGGACACAAGUUAAACAGAGGAUAGUUUCUCUGAGCAUUGUUUUCAAAUUAGUGAGGAUAAAUAAACCUUUGUUUGAAUGUAAUGUAUUCAAUAUGCAAAGCUUUAUUAGUGCAGAGACAAGAGCUGGAACUGACAAAUGUAAACCGCAACAGUUUUCGUGAUGAUUAAAUCUUUAAAGGGGGAACUUAUUAUGAACAAACUCCUUUUCACUGCUUGUGCACAUCAACUCUCUGGAGUGCCCACCCAUGACAAACUCUGAAAAAAAACAACACUCUUUUAUGGACUGCCACUGUCAGAAAAAUUAAACGAGCCAUUCAGACUUGGCUUUACUUCGUAUGUCACAUGAAGGCUAAUUAGAAUCUUCAUUUCCAUUAAUGACUUGAGAAUUAUUUUACUGUGCUUUUCGAACAAGUUCUUAAAUGGACAGGCGUUUGAACGAAGCGUUUCAGAAAAGGGGGGAUUACGGGUAUAUUCAGACGGACAGUAUGAGAAAAACAAAGCAUGUAAACAUGAUCUAGUUGAAACCUAAAAAUACAAAUAAUAGCCUAAAAAUGUGCACAAUAUGUCUCGUCUUUCUAAUUUAAAGAUAAGACAUAUCAGGAGUUCUCUACUACUUACUGUAAUGUUUUGUAUGCUGUAUACAAAGAUGUACUGGUGGAACGAUUACAGCUGAAGCUGAACAAAAUGUGAAUACAAUAGUCUACUAACAUAGUAGUUCAUCUUAAUUUGUUGGGUUUUGGGCUUUGGGAAAAAGUCAAAGGCUUUUGUCAAUAUCUAUUCUAGAUUUGUUUUUGAAGUUGCAGCCCAAAGGGAGAUUAUUUAAUAUGAAUCAUGUUUUUAAUGUUUAACAGAAACUGAGAUUUUUCCCUGUGUGUUCUGUAUGUCAAGUUUGGUUAAACAACAUUAAUUAACAGCUAUACUCUCCACUUCAUAACCUGUAAAUCCGGUUCUAUGUGUUUUUACUAUCAAUAAACAUACACGAAGCUGCUUGCA